UACAGAGGGUGCGAGCGUUAAUCGGAAUUACUGGGCGUAAAGGGCGCGUAGGCGGUUAAUUAAGUUGGAUGUGAAAUCCCUGGGCUUAACCUAGGAACUGCAUCUGAAACUGAUUAGCUGGAGUACAGUAGAGGGUAGUGGAAUUUCCGGUGUAGCGGUGAAAUGCGUAGAUAUCGGAAGGAACACCAGUGGCGAAGGCGGCUACCUGGACUGAUACUGACGCUGAGGCGCGAGAGCGUGGGGAGCAAACAGG
rnacentral:rRNA from 1 species